GAGACAUCCAAGCGGCCAUGACACCGCGGCAAACCGGUGAUGACGGCUGCCUUUUUGUCUUGUGCAGUCAGGCCGGGUCGCAGGGACGGAGGACGACUGUAAUUGCGCCGACAGGUGACACAUCUGUAGAAACCAGAAGAUGAUGGGGAGACUACUUAGAUCAUGUGACCUGCACCUCACAUGUCCCCUCCAAGUGCGGGACCGAGGUUCUGUUUGAAAUGGUGAUGGUCAGAAAGCGCACAGACUGACAAGUUGGGACUGGUGAUGAUGCAAACUCCUGGAUCAUCUGGGGUCGGGCGGACCACCAUCAUUUACUUCGAGACGAGUUUCACCACGUCGGAGGAUUUUCAUGGUUUUCACCGAACUGAGAGUUCAAGGUCGCCGUGCGGCUAUUUCCAGCUCGUCUUUGCUCUGAUCUGUGUUGCAAAAUGACAAGGUAACGCAACUCGGGGGGGUCAGCUGUGUUACAGGAACGCUUCCACGGAUCGGCAGAGAGGAAAUCAAUCCUGCCUGACAGUGUCUUCAGGAUACUCUGACCUGACUGUGCCAUGACAACUGCACGCACACACACACACACGUGGGGUAAGAGAAGACACGUGCAUAGCUAAACACUCGAGCUCACAAACAAACACUUGUAGUAUUAUACACAAACAUGAGCUGUAACUAAAUAUAGCUCCGUGCAGCUGUCUGUCUAACACACACAACCUCUGUCAGCUCGGGUUUGUCGCCCGUCUUGUCAAGGUGCAUCAGAGAGACGAGGUGUCUGCUGGAAAGUCCAUCACCAUCAAACUGCUUGUGAAAAGUGAGGGCGAUGUUCUCAGGGAGGAAGAAACCAAUCGUUAAAGAACGGGGAACAACUUCGGUCCUACAGACAAAUACAGUUGGCUGAGAUUGGUGAUAAAUAUCUUUCUUUACUAAUCUACAGUUCAACAUUACUCUGGAACUUGCUGCACCUGAUUCUGACAUUUUAAAUGUGCAAUACGUAGCUUUGGCCACUUGGGUUCUCUCAAUCAAAACAAUAACUUAGACCGAAAGAGAAAACAUUUUCCCUGUUCCAAAUUGGUAGAUCAUCAAACUCCUGUUCAUCAAGCUGCUGUCCUAAGGUAGAAAGUGACUCGUUCCCUGCGCCUCAAGCUGCCAGGUGUCGUCCUCCAACACGGAGCGAGAUGACUAACCGCCCCUGUCCCUCGGAGGUUGUAAUAUCUGGUGUCUCUGUGGCCAAACAAUGCCUGUAAGCGCUGGCAGCCAUUAGACUCACUCCCAGGUCAUUGAGCAUUCCCUGCUAGCUAAUUACAACAGGGCCCGGAGUUGUCUGCACCCCCCCCCCCCUCCACCUCCUGUCUGGAAACACACGGGCAUCUGUGGAGGACAGUGGGAGGGUCGCGCAGGGGUUGCAAAGGGGGAAGUAUUUCUGACAAAUGUGCCAUCUUCAUAAUUAGCUCAGAAGCAACAUAUGAAACAUUAAACACGCCGGGCGCCGACGACAAUCAAAACAUUUCAUUUGUUGUCAAUUAUUCAUUACUUUGAAGGUUCUGAAGGGGUCGUUAAUAUGGAAAUAAGCUUGCGAUGCUAACAAGGUUGUAGUAUCUGAUUCCAAAUCAUCUGAGCACAGAGCGCCCCCGUCCUCCCUUUUUUUCUUUUGGGCUAAUAUUUUGUCUUUCCAUUUUGUGAUUUGUCUGUUAUUCAUGAAGUCUGCUCUUCAAACAAAACCAUUUUCUGACUUGAAAAACAAGCUGCUUUUAUCCACUUCAUCCUUCAAGUUGAGCUCAAUCUAAAAAUGAAGUUAAACCACCCGAGACUAAUCUAAUCCUUUUUGAAUUUUCUAGUUUUCACCUGUCUUUUUUUGUUGUGUUUUCUUUCCCCGGUGGCUGUCGUGGCCAAAGUAAAUUCUAUUCCAGCUAAACUAUCAAAUAUGAAAGUGUUGUAAAGCUAGACAUUAUUGCCAGGAGUGUAACCUGGUUCUUCUAUCAGAUCUGACAGAUGUGUUACCGAUACACCACAGGAGUUUAGGAAUGGCUUCACCACAACGCUACUGGAACUCAAUCAGUAAAUUGUAUGCACGUUAAAGGGACAUUUGACUGAAAUUCACUCGUCAUGUACUUGGCACUAUGCCAACGGAGGGGUUGUUAGUAUUGUUUCACUCCACCAAAGACUUUUGGAGUCUCAGGGAUCAACUUGAAACUGUCAUUUACAACACGUUUUAGCCUUAGUUUCCUCUGAUAUCCUACCCUGGAACCGCGUUCACAGGCACGCAAGCUCUGCCGAUGUCAUAUCGUGGCCCUCGUCAAGAGCAUAGAGUUGCAAGUUUGUGUGUGUGUGAAUGCGGCUCCAGGCAGCAGGUGGAUGGCAGAGGACAUUUAGGCUGAAGUCCAGUAGCAUUUUUGAUUUUAUGGACUUUACGUCCUGCCCCUCGAUCUGCAUAGUGGUGAGUGGUAGGUACUGAGUGAAUUAUCAUUAUUUGGUGAAGUAUCCCUUUAUGCUAAAAGUUAAAGUGGAUGAUUGAAUUAGUUCUGUAAUUGUAUGGUGUUGUAGAGGCUGCGGUGUUGUAAUGCUUAACAGUGUUUAUGUAGCCACUGAUAUAACAGAUGGAUUGGUAAAUUUGUUAAUUGAUGAAAAUCAUAUUGCGUUGUCCUCUUUUUACCAUGUUCAUCAAUCUCGUUGGACAAAUUGAAGAUGGCGUGCAGAGACUCGAGUCCUCUCGCAGCAGCUGCAGGUUUGGAUCCAGCCUGUUGCUUUGUGACUCUUACCAGGCUGGGUUAGACCUAUUGCAGCACUGCUAGAACUUACUGAAUUUGUUGUAGUCAUUUCAAAGUAUGUGAUAAUUUAAAGCCGCUCAAAUGUACCUCACCUU